UACGAGGGGGGCGAGCGUUGUUCGGAAUUAUUGGGCGUAAAGGGUGCGUAGGCGGUUUGGUAAGUCUGAUGUGAAAUCUAUGGGCUCAACUCAUAGUCUGCAUCGGAAACUGCCGGGCUUGAGUGUGGGAGAGGUGAGUGGAAUUCCUGGUGUAGCGGUGAAAUGCGUAGAUAUCAGGAGGAACACCUAUUGCGAAGGCAGCUCGCUGGGACGUUACUGACGCUGAGACGCGAAAGCGUGGGGAGCAAACAGG
rnacentral:rRNA from 1 species